UAAUAUCCGAUCCUCCUAUUAUUAUAACCAUUUGCAAUUAGUGUUUCCUUUUGCACUUUAUGCCGAAUGCUUCAUCACUCAUAAUUUGAGAUAACAAAAAAGAAUUUCCCUCGAUUUGAAGAAUUUAGUGGCACAAAAUAAUGAUACUCUUUAUUGGAAAAUCAGUAGGUUACACAACUCAAAAUCUUUCAAAUUUGGGAGCUUAGAAGCUAUUUUUUCUCUGCUUUGUAUUAACGUCCCUUUUUAACUUCUGAAUAAAUCGUUAUAGCUUGAUGAUAGGCUAUAAUUGUGUAUUUUAGUCGAUUAUUAUACUAUAAUUUACUGCACUUUAGUUGAAUUUGCACUUUAAUCGCUAGUGUUUUGCACUAACGAUGUGUUUUAUGUCUUGUAUGAGUGAUUCCGAGCUAUAUAAAUGCCAUGGAAUAAAUUCAAGUGAUUUGAAGUUUUGAAAUCUGAG
rnacentral:lncRNA from 1 species